CCCUUAGAUGUUCUGGGCCGCACGCGCGCUACACUGAUGCAUUCAACAAGCCUAGCCUUGACCGAGAGGUCCGGGUAAUCUUUGAAACUGCAUCGUGAUGGGGCUAGAUUAUUGCAAUUAUUAAUCUUCAACGAGGAAUGCCUAGUAAGCGUGAUUCAUCAAAUCGCGUUGAUUACGUCCCUGCCCUUUGUACACACCGCCCGUCGCUCCUACCGAUUGAAUGAGUUGGUGAGGAGCUCGGAUUGGCAGCAGUUGGUGGUUCGCCACCGGCUAUUGCUGAGAAGUCCUCCAAACCGCCCCAUUUAGAGGAAGGAGAAGUCGUAACA
rnacentral:rRNA from 1 species